AACUAGCCCCGAUUGCAACGGCAUCCUUUUUUGCCAUUGCGAUUGCUGACUUGUUCAACAGAUUGCUUCACUUCGUCCGCAAUGACAAAAAAGAUAUAGUGGAAAGCGGGAAACAGC
rfam:Epilithonimonas sp. 36-9 SCNpilot_cont_300_bf_scaffold_741, whole genome shotgun sequence.